UACGGAGGAUGCGAGCGUUAUCCGGAUUUAUUGGGUUUAAAGGGUGCGUAGGCGGAUCAAUAAGUCAGUGGUGAAAUUCUGCAGCUUAACUGUAGACUUGCCAUUGAUACUGUUGGUCUUGAGUAUGGUCAAGGCAGGCGGAAUGUGUAAUGUAGCGGUGAAAUGCUUAGAUAUUACACAGAACACCGAUUGCGAAGGCAGCUUGCUGGGCCAAUACUGACGCUGAUGCACGAAAGCGUGGGGAUCGAACAGGAUUAGAUACCCUGGUAGUCCACGCCGUAAACGAUGAUCACUCGCUGUUAGCGAUAUACAGUUAGCGGCUAAGCAAAAGCAUUAAGUGAUCCACCUGGGGAGUACGGCCGCAAGGCUGAAACUCAAAGGAAUUGACGGGGGCCCGCACAAGCGGAGGAACAUGUGGUUUAAUUCGAUGAUACGCGAGGAACCUUACCUGGGCUUAAAUGUAGAGUGCAUGAGGUAGAAAUACUUCUUUUCUUAGGAACUCUCUGCAAGGUGCUGCAUGGUUGUCGUCAGCUCGUGCCGUGAGGUGUCGGGUUAAGUCCCAUAACGAGCGCAACCCUUAUCGUUAGUUGCCAGCGGGUAAUGCCGGGGACUCUAGCGAAACUGCCGGUGUAAACCGAGAGGAAGGUGGGGAUGACGUCAAAUCAGCACGGCCCUUAUGUCCAGGGCUACACACGUGUUACAAUGGCCGGUACAGAGGGCAGCUACCUGGAGACAGGAUGCGAAUCUCGAAAGCCGGUCUCAGUUCGGAUCGGAGUCUGCAACUCGACUCCGUGAAGCUGGAUUCGCUAGUAAUCGCGCAUCAGCCAUGGCGCGGUGAAUACGUUCCCGGGCCUUGUACACACCGCCCGUCAAGCCAUGGAAGUUGGGGGUACCUGAAGUCCGUAACCGUAAGGAGCGGCCUAAGGUAAAACCAGUGACUGGGGCU
rnacentral:rRNA from 1 species